UACGAAGGGUGCAACCGUUGCUCGGAAUCAUUGGGCGUAAAGCGCACGUAGACGGCGAUCUAAGUCGGAUGUGAAAUCCCUCGGCUCAACCGAGGACGUGCAUCCGAAACUGGAUUGCUCGAGUAUGGAAGAGGGUCGCGGAAUUCUCGGUGUAGAGGUGAAAUUCGUAGAUAUCGGGAGGAACACCAGUGGCGAAGGCGGCGACCUGGGCCAAUACUGACGCUGAGGUGCGAAAGCGUGGGGAGCAAACAGG
rnacentral:rRNA from 1 species